rnacentral:rRNA from 1 species
AGCGAACGCUGGCGGUAGGCCUAACACAUGCAAGUCGAACGGCAGCACAGUAAGAGCUUGCUCUUACGGGUGGCGAGUGGCGGACGGGUGAGGAAUACACCGGAAUCUACUUUUUCGUGGGGGAUAACGUAGGGAAACUUACGCUAAUACCGCAUACGACCUACGGGUGAAAGCAGGGGAUCUUCGGACCUUGCGCGAGUGAAUGAGCCGAUGUCGGAUUAGCUAGUUGGCGGGGUAAAGGCCCACCAAGGCGACGAUCCGUAGCUGGUCUGAGAGGAUGAUCAGCCACACUGGAACUGAGACACGGUCCAGACUCCUACGGGAGGCAGCAGUGGGGAAUAUUGGGCAAUGGGCGCAAGCCUGAUCCAGCCAUACCGCGUGGGUGAAGAAGGCCUUCGGGUUGUAAAGCCCUUUUGUUGGGAAAGAAAAGCAGCAGGUUAAUACCCCGCUAUUCUGACGGUACCCAAAGAAUAAGCACCGGCUAACUUCGUG